GACGAACGCUGGCGGCGUGCUUAACACAUGCAAGUCGAACGGAAAGGCCCUGCUUUUGUGGGGUGCUCGAGUGGCGAACGGGUGAGUAACACGUGAGUAACCUGCCCUUGACUUUGGGAUAACUUCAGGAAACUGGGGCUAAUACCGGAUAGGAGCUCCUGCUGCAUGGUGGGGGUUGGAAAGUUUCGGCGGUUGGGGAUGGACUCGCGGCUUAUCAGCUUGUUGGUGGGGUAGUGGCUUACCAAGGCUUUGACGGGUAGCCGGCCUGAGAGGGUGACCGGCCACAUUGGGACUGAGAUGCGGCCCAGACUCCUACGGUAGGCAGCAGUGGGGAAUAUUGCACAAUGGGCGGAAGCCUGAUGCAGCAACGCCGCGUGCGGGAUGACGGCCUUCGGUUUGUAAACCGCUUUCGCCUGUGACGAAGCGUGAGUGACGGUAAUGGGUAAAGAAGCACCGGCUAACUACGUG
rnacentral:rRNA from 1 species